GGGCCCGCACAAGCGGUGGAGCAUGUGGUUUAAUUCGAUGAUACGCGAGGAACCUUACCAGGGCUUAAAUGUAAGUUGCAUUAGUUAGAGAUAGCUAUUUCUUCGGACCACUUACAAGGUGCUGCAUGGUUGUCGUCAGCUCGUGCCGUGAGGUGUCAGGUUAAGUCCUAUAACGAGCGCAACCCCUGUUGUUAGUUGCCAGCGAGUCAUGUCGGGAACUCUAACAAGACUGCCGGUGCAAACCGUGAGGAAGGUGGGGAUGACGUCAAAUCAUCACGGCCCUUACGUCCUGGGCUACACACGUGCUACAAUGGCCGGUACAGAGAGCAGCCACUACGCGAGUAGGCGCGAAUCUUCAAAGCUGAUCGUAGUCCGGAUCGGAGUCUGCAACUCGACUCCGUGAAGUCGGAAUC
rnacentral:rRNA from 1 species